GAUUAUAACAAAUAAAAAUGUUUUGCCAUUAUAUUCACUGCUGCAUUCAGGGUUCUCCAUGGAUGAAAAUUGAACGAUGGAGGAACUUUCAGCAUCACAACUUUGUCUUUGCUGUAAAGUGUAGCGUGAUCAAAAGUAUUUCAUCCCUCCAUGUAAGGAAUGGUGAACAUGCUAAUUCAUUGCUUAUUUAAAUUAUAUUUUUUUGAAUUUUUAUUGUAGACGUAUAAUAUUUUCAUUAAUUGCCGUUUGUAACCGGAAACGCAGAUGUAUCAAUUGGAUUGUAAACUACGAAAUGAAUUCGGACGGAAUAACGAUAAGAUAUUUCUUCACAGUAAAUAUUUAAGUUUUUAACUUUUAAAGUAAUUCUGUGUUAUCAUUACAGUACUAGAGUUAUUUGCGAUGAAAUAAUAUUAAUGUUUUACGUCUUAUUUUGUACUUCUUAAAAAAGGGGGAUGCAGAUUGCGUAAGUCAAAAUCUCAGGUCAAAAUAAAAGCACAUGUUCGUCUUGUUAAACUGUUUUCUUUGUAACUGGAUUAUUAAUUUAUUUAUUUAAUCUAAAUUAUCAUAAGCAUUUGCUGAUACUUAAUCGAAUAAUUCAAUAAAGGAAUCGUCUAUCUUCAGAUAGUAUUCUGUCUGGUUUGUUUAUCUACCUGUACAAGCUCAGACGAGCUCAGGUACCGGCGUUUUGCAUUUGCGCCGAUCUGCAUUUCAUUUGCGCCGAUUUUUUCUUUCAUUUGCGCUGAUUUUUGUUUUCAUUUGCGCCGAUUUUUUUACAGGUAAAUUACAGGUUAAUUACAGGUGAAUAGAUAUAAGAAGAUGUGGUAUGAGUGCAAAUGAGACAACUCUCCAUCCAAGUCAUGUUUUUUUU
rnacentral:lncRNA from 1 species